GAUGUAUUUUACCCCCAGGGAUGUAGAGAUGGGGAUGUAUUUUACCCCCAGGGAUGUAGAGGUGGGGAUGUAUUUUACCCCCAAGGAUGUAGAGAUGGGGAUGUAUUUUACCCCCAGGGAUGUAGAGGUGGGGAUGUAUUUUACCCCCAGGGAGAUCCCCUGAGCACAUUCUCAGUAAGAGUUUUUGUGUACUGAGGGUGAUGCAAUACAUUGAGAGGUUUCAUUUGAAGCAUUACAUAGUUUAUAUGCCUCUGCCUCAAAUGCAUUUUCAGGGCAUUAAUCUGUUGGUCUGUCCUGUGUAGUAAUAAGCUAUAGGCCCCUCCAGGUCCUGUGUAGUUAUAAGCUAUAGGCCCCUCCAGUUCCUGUGUGGUAAUCGGCUAUAGGCCCCUCCAGUUCCUGUGUGGUAAUAAGCUAUAAGCUCCUCCAGUUCCUGUGUGGUAAUAAGCUAUAAGCUCCUCCAGUUCCUGUGUAGUAAUAAGUUAUAGGCCCCUCCAGUUCCUGUGUGAUAAUAAGCUAUAGGCCCCUCCAGUUCCUGGGUGGUAAUAAGUUAUAAGAUCCUCCAGUUCCUGUGUGGUAAUAAGCUAUAAGCUCCUCCAGUUCCUGUGUGGUAAUAAGUUAUAAGCUCCUCCAGUUCCUGUGUGGUAAUAAGCUAUAGGCCCCUCCAGUUCCUGUGUGGUAAUCAGCUAUAGGCCCCUCCAGUUCCUGUGUGGUAAUAAGUUAUAAGCUCCUCCAGUUCCUGUGUGGUAAUAAGCUAUAAGCUCCUCCAGUUCCUGUGUGGUAAUAAGCUAUAAGCUCCUCCAGUUCCUGUGUGGUAAUAAGUUAUAAGCUCCUCCAGUUCCUGUGUGGUAAUAAGCUAUAGGCCCCUCCAGUUCCUGUGUGGUAAUCAGCUAUAGGCCCCUCCAGUUCCUGUGUGGUAAUAAGUUAUAAGCUCCUCCAGUUCCUGUGUGGUAAUAAGCUAUAGGCCCCUCCAGUUCCUGUGUGGUAAUAAGCUAUAGGCUGUCUGACAGACUGAUUAGAUGGUGG